rnacentral:miRNA from 1 species
GUAUAUAUAUAUAUAUAUAUAUAUAUAUAUAUAUAUGUAUAUAUAUAUAUACACACACACACAUAUAUAUGUAUAUAUAUGUAUAUA